rnacentral:rRNA from 1 species
UACAGAGGGUGCGAGCGUUAAUCGGAAUUACUGGGCGUAAAGCGCGCGUAGGCGGCUUUGCAAGUCGGGUGUGAAAUCCCCAGGCUUAACCUGGGAACUGCAUUCGAGACUGCAUUGCUAGAGUAUGGGAGAGGGAAGUGGAAUUCCCGGUGGAGCGGUGAAAUGCGUAGAGAUCGGGAAGAACGCCGGCGGCGAAAGCGACUCUCUGGUCGGAUCCUGACGCUGAGGUGCGAAAGCUAGGGGAGCAAACGGG